GAUGUGUUUUUUUAAAAAUCGAACAUAGGGGAAAUUGCAUGCAAACUCCUAUGUUCGCAUUUUAAAAAAUCUCACUGUAUAUUUUGAUAAUCUUUAAUAUUUUAGGUAUCUGCUUUUUCUUUACAUUUAUUUUUACAUUAUAGUUUUUAAACAUAAGACCAAAGCUUAAAAUAAGCUUAUAUUUCAUAGUACAACUUCCACUGAGUUUAAUUGGUUACGAAUUACCAAUGGAAGAAUGAGAAAAGUUUGAAUAAGUCCAAGAUCUUAGACCAUAUAGUACAUGGACUGCUAAUUGUAACUAAAAUAUGGUCAAGGACAUCGCCUGGGUAUGGAUGGAGAUAAUGACACACUACUCAUUAAAAUCGAACCAAAACAAGAAGAAGAAAUCGAUUCCUUUCUUCAGGAACAUAUUUCUAUAAGCAAUGAAGCUUUGGUGACAAUAAAGUACGAAAUUACCAUUAA